UCUCAUUCGUAACCCUAACCCUAAAAAUCAUCCCUCUCUUUCGCCGCCGCCGAAUUCUUUCAACUCCGCCCUCUUUUUCUUUGUGGUUGUCACUACUACCUUUCUCUUCUCAUCUUGCUGCUUCCACUCCCAAGGUGUGAAAGCUGAAGCAGCAUAAGCAGAAGAAAACGUCGAAAAUAUUGUUGAUAAACUGGUUCUGUCGGAGUUCGUCGGAGAUCGGAAGGAUAUUAGCUCAGAAGCUUCAUCCGACUUGGAAUAUUAAAAAUGCUGCCAUCACUGCCAUCACCUGUUCUGGUAGCAAGAAAAAUCCAAGAAAUGGUUCUAACCGGUGUUUAGGUGGUCAGGUUAUGCUUUGGAUAUACAACGGACGAAGCAUGGUUAAAUUUUUUUUUUUUAUCAGCAAAGAAUAUUAAUAUAUAUACAGAGACACUUUAGGGGUGCCUCAACCCUUAUACAGAUCCUGAUUUUACAUUGAGGUUCUUAGAUAAACAAAACAACCUAAUAGAUGUGUGUAGCAAAAAGAUCAAAGGCAAAUAGAGGACCUACAUAUUCAAAGUACAACUAAAAAGUACCAUCUUAAGAAUAUCCACUCAUAGGAACUUAUUCAAGUUGGUACACAUUGACAAAUAUUGGAUUCAUUCCUUUAGUCCAGUGCUAGAUUCAAUACGUUCAUGAUCUAUUUGAGAGCUUCCUGAUCAGUAAACAGCAAAGUAUUGUGCGUCCAGUAAAUCAUUGCACCUUUGAAGACUUCCCCUAUGAAAUAUUCUGCGUAAAGCAAAAGAAACCUCUAGACUAAAUAGUCUAAGUGGGUUAUAACACAUGUUUCCUCCAUAUCAUAUUUUGAUUGGAGGAUUCUACGUAUGGUUACAUGGACAGUGUGAAACUACAUGUUGCCACCUUUAAAUGUAUUAAGAGGAAUCAUGGAUGUGGUGAUGAUCUCUGGAUGUGUUGAGCUCAUUUAUUUAUUUAUAAUAUAGCUCUGUCAUCUUUGUACUUUGAAGAUGUAUGUGGUUAUGUUUUGUAUUUAGGGUGCGCAAUGGAUUGAAAUUCCUUAGGUGGUUGUGAUGUUAGUCUAUGCACUUAUUAUAUUGUGUCCAGGUUGGACAAAGACGUUGUCUUUGCGUUCUUUUUUGUUGAAACUCAUAAUGUUAGCUUUUUUGCAUCCUUUAUGUAUAGGAUUAUUUUUUGUAAAAGGGUUAAAGCACCCCACAA